rnacentral:rRNA from 1 species
UGGGGAAUAUUGCACAAUGGGGGGAACCCUGAUGCAGCGACGCCGCGUGAGUGAAGAAGUAUUUCGGUAUGUAAAGCUCUAUCAGCAGGGAAGAAGAUGACGGUACCUGACUAAGAAGCCCCGGCUAACUACGUGCCAGCAGCCGCGGUAAUACGUAGGGGGCAAGCGUUAUCCGGAUUUACUGGGUGUAAAGGGAGCGUAGACGGCAGGGCAAGUCUGGAGUGAAAGCCCGGGGCCCAACCCCGGGACUGCUUUGGAAACUGCCAUGCUAGAGUGCUGGAGAGGUAAGCGGAAUUCCUAGUG